CUUAAAUUGAAGAGUUUGAUCAUGGCUCAGAUUGAACGCUGGCGGCAGGCCUAACACAUGCAAGUCGAGCGGAAACGAGUUAUCAGAACCUUCGGGGGACGAUAACGGCGUCGAGCGGCGGACGGGUGAGUAAUGCCUAG
rnacentral:rRNA from 1 species